AGACAGGUGGAGCGGGCGGUGUCCCUGGGCGCGGAGCUCUGCCGGGAGUGCUGGAGAGCCAGCCCUUGGUGGCCAGUGGACGGCAUCUGCCAACUUCUAAAUGGCAGGCUGCUGGACUGCAGAGGAAAAUAAAAUUGGUUGACCACUCCAACACUUCUGAGAUGAAAAGGAACAGAGGUGAUACCACAUGAGAAGAGACAAAUUUAAACUGGAUUUCAGGAGCCAGAGAUUAUUCAACAGGAGCUAAUUAUGUCACUCGAGGUGUCUGUGGAGAAGUGAAGAUGGGCAGGCUCCACAUCCAUGUCUGCUGAUUUCCUUUGUUUCCUUGCACAGCACGUAACUUCACUGAAGGGUCAAGCCUAACCUGCCUACAGAAAAGUAUGCUAAUCAUAAAUAUACAGCUCAAUGAAGUUUGACCAACGGACUUUUACACCCAGACCAAGCAGCAGCAUUUCCUGCACCCUCUGUAGUCCUACUGGGCAUGACCUAUCCUAACUGCCAUAGAUCAGUUUUCCUUUUU